UUGUUUCUCCAACUGUGUCCUGUUACAAAUGAAAACAGGUUCUUACCGCACUUAUGAAAUUAACUGUAUUGUUGUAAGUUAAGAAUACUCACAAAUAGUUUCCAAAAUUUUGUAGAAAUCAGGUAGAGAGAAACAAAUAUGCUCCAAAUUUUGUUCAUAGUCGUAUCCUAUACUCAAUUGUUAAAAGCUAUAAAUAGCUUAAAAGUUUUCUUUACUCAGAAAAGGAGGCCGAGGCGGGUGGAUCACCUGAGGUCAGGACUUCAAGACCAGCCUGGCCAACAUGGUGAAAUCCCGUCUCUAUAAAAAUGCAAAAAUGAGCCGGGCUUGGUAGCUCACGCCUGUAAUUCCAGCACUUUGGGAGGCUGAGGCGGGCGGAUCACCUGAGGCCGGGAGUUGGAGACCAGCCUGACCAAGAUGGAAAAACAGAAAUAGCGAAUGAAUGAUGUACGCGUGUAGGAAACAGCGGGCUCGGACGCCUGGCUUCUCCGGCUGCCCUAACGCCCUCCAGCUCCACCACCUAUCACCUUGAACCUCAGAAACCGCCUCUCUGGGUGCGGGUGGGGCAAAGGCUCCUUCUCCGUGGGGUAACCGCUCUGGGUGCUCUUCCUGAGCUCUAGCUGGCUUGCCCAACUACCAGCUCCACCCCUCCACCCUGCCUCCCCUAGGUAUUCCUAGGGGAUUUUUUUUUUUUUUUUUUUUUUUGAGACAGAGUUUCUCUCUCG
rnacentral:lncRNA from 1 species